rnacentral:tRNA from 1 species
ACCGGAAUAGCUCAGUUGACAGAGCGUUAGGCUAUAGAUCGAAAGGUCUGUGGUUCGGUCCCGGGAUUCGUCA